AGUGAACGCUGGCGGUAGGCCUAACACAUGCAAGUCGAACGGCAGCACAGUAAGCGCUUGCUCUUACGGGUGGCGAGUGGCGGACGGGUGAGGAAUACAUCGGAAUCUACUUUUUCGUGGGGGAUAACGUAGGGAAACUUACGCUACUACCGCAUACGACCUACGGGUGAAAGCAGUGGAUCUUCGGACCUUGCGCGAUUGAAUGAGCCGAUGUCGGAUCAGCUAGUUGGCGGGGUAAAGGCCCACCAAGGCGACGAUCCGUAGCUGGUUUGAGAGGAUGAUCAGCCACACUGGAACUGAGACACGGUCCAGACUCCUACGGGAGGCAGCAGUGGGGAAUAUUGGACAAUGGGCGCAAGCCUGAUCCAGCCAUACCGCGUGGGUGAAGAAGGCCUUCGGGUCGUAAAGCCCUUUUGUUGGGAAAGAAAAGAAGCAGGUUAAUACCCCGCUGUUCUGACGGUACCCAAAGAAUAAGCACCGGCUAACUUCGUG
rnacentral:rRNA from 1 species